rnacentral:rRNA from 1 species
UGGGGAAUAUUGGACAAUGGGCGAAAGCCUGAUCCAGCCAUGCCGCGUGAGUGAUGAAGGCCUUAGGGUUGUAAAGCUCUUUUACCAGGGAUGAUAAUGACAGUACCUGGAGAAUAAGCCCCGGCUAACUCCGUGCCAGCAGCCGCGGUAAUACGGAGGGGGCAAGCGUUGUACGGAUUUACUGGGCGUAAAGGGCGCGUAGGCGGACGAUCAAGUCAGAGGUGAAAGGCCCGGGCUCAACCUGGGACGUGCCUUUGAAACUGAUUGUCUUGAGUGCGGAAGAGGGUGACGGAAUUCCCAGUGUAGAGGUGAAAUUCGUAGAUAUUGGGAAGAACACCGGUGGCGAAGGCGGUCACCUGGUCCGCAACUGACGCUGAGGCGCGAAAGCGUGGGGAGCAAACAGGAUUAGAUACCCCGGUAGUCC